rnacentral:lncRNA from 1 species
CUUGAAACAAGAGUUCAAGACUCUUAAAUCCGGCGACAAGAAACUGCACUCUUAAGCCAAUGCACCGCGGCAUUGGUCCAAGAGGUUUUUUUACCAGUGCGGAACACGAACGGUAUGUCUAAACAGCGACGGUCUCGUCAUUUUCCCUGACAUUUCCAGGUUUUUUUCUGACUUUUUAAAUUUCCCUGACUGUGGCGACCUUGCUUCCCACACUUCGCUCGAAAACGGUUAAUUUUAAGAAAAACGGGUAAGUUCACUGAAAGCUCAUAAAAUGUCGAUGUAAAAAAGUAUGGUUUUACUAAGUGACCCCUGGGUGACCCCCUCAAAAUGGGGGGUUAAAAUCUCAAAAUAUCACCAAUUCCAGACCGUGGCUUCUCCCGAGGGUUCGAUGCGUGGUCUGGAAGAUUUGUAAACGGCUUGUUCGUACCGGCGAAUGCCUUCGCAAUAAUCCAGUGAUUAAUAGGUCGAAUAAAAACCGUCGCAUGCAGCAGUUUGCGUCAGAUACUUGCGAGUCCCGUCGUUUUCCGCGGGGAAAAAACCCCCGGGAAAAUGACAAAGCUGCGGACAGGAAAUGUGAAACGUAGUGAGUGAAGGAAUGACGUUAAGAUUACAUCGGAACGCAAUAUCCGGUAAAAAUGCGCUUGGCUUCUUUGAUUUUACCGCUGGUCGGUUUACUAGCUCUUGCCUUUCUUCCGCCCAUCACAUCACUGGGAUACUCAUCGAAGCUGCGUUUCUACAAAGGGAUCCUCAUGCUCGGGAAGAACCGGUGCGUGAAUCGAUGCCGGCUCAAACAUGGGUACUUCCAAGACGCAGCGGGUGACUAUAAACUUGCCUCCGUGGCCAAAAGAGGCAUCGUUCCCGGAAAGUGUAUGUGCAUGGUAUCACGGAGCCUCAGAGCGUAUAUCACUCAAAAGUUUGGCGCAGAGGUCGCAAAGAAAUACGGACGCCUGAACUUCUUCGGCAAAACUCGGCAAGGUCGGGAGGCUCUGAGGAGGCUGGCUGGUAAAGACAAGGGGAUCACCUUCCUCACGUACGAGCAGUUUAACCAGAUGAUCGCGGAUCCGAACAACGCCAACGCCCAGCAGAGACAGCAGACUGGCGGUACCGCCGAAACCACCGAUCAGCAAAUCACAAUACCCAAAAUCCUGCUGGACGAGGUGCAACCGGAUGGUUCGACGAAGCAGGUGGAAGUCGACCUAACGCCCGAGGAAAUCCAGAGGGUACAAGGUUUCUGGAGGGACAUCAUGGAGAGAAAAAGAAGGAAGCGCCGGCGCAGACCGCAAAAGCCGCCUGAAUCAUUUGGCGAAAAACUGAGAAUUAUUGGAGGGGCAGCAAUAUUAUACAAAACUAGGGUGUAGAGAAAAUACAGAAGGUGGUGGCAAGCGGAGAAAAGUACUUUUCUACGUCACAGCUAAAAAUGAAGCCACCCUUCUUAUUGGUUGAUGGUAUCGCGGGAAAACCGAGACAGCUUUGAAAUUUAGAAAGGAGCUGGAAAGGUUGUGAGGUUUGUACUUAUUUUGGCUCUAGAAACUCGGAACUAUUGACUUUUUACGAUUCAAUAUAUUUUCUACCAACGCUUGACUGUGAGUGAAAAUAAUUUGUAAAUUAAAAAUUCAUAUUUCAUCAGGGCCGGAUUAAAGGGGUGGCCACAUGGGCCGCGGCCCAUGGCGGCAAAUCUAGGGGGCGGCAAAUUUUGCAAUUUUUUUAAAAGUAGGUAUAAAAAAAAUCGGAUUUAGAAAAAAAAAUUACAAACGAGAAAAGGCUACAAAAUCUCUCAUUUCCUGAGAGCAUAGUAAUUUCUAAUUUUGUCGUCUUUCAGUGAUACAAGAGACAGCACCUUUAAUUAGUCGAGUUAAGAGAGAAAACAAACACACAAUUUGGCCUGGAACGGCGCGACUUAGGGAGAAAUGAUGACGAGGACUUGAGAUGAAAAGGAGAAGCCCUCGGCGCGGCAAUCGGCAUGUAACACAUAUUAGCGCCUACAAGACUGCACGAAUACUUCACGCAUUGCAUCAAACACGGUGAGGUUAUUGUGGUCAGCGUGAAACGGAUAGCGCCUACAAGAAUGCAUGAAUACUUCACGCAUUGCGCCAAACACAGUGCGGUCAGCGUGAAACGCAUAGCGCCUACGAGACUGCGUGAAAACUUCACGCAUUGCGCCAAACACGGUGCGGUUAGCGUGAAACGCAUAGCGCCUACGAGACUGCGUGAAUACUUCGCGCAUUGCGCCAAACACGGUGCGGUCGGCGCGGCGCGGCGGCGGAAGUUAAAAUCAUUAGACCAAAUUUUGUGUUUGUUCUUUCAUAAUUUUUUCGUUCAUUUCUGAUGAAUGGGAGGCCUUGUCCAUUGGAGAUAGGUUUGCGAAACUUGACUUUCGCGCGAAGUUCCGUGACCUUUUGCUAGUAGUGUUGACAGGGCUUUCCCAAAAAAUGUGUUCAACACGAGUAAACGAGUAAACGCGUCUUAUGCAGCCCUCCCCCGCUGGCACGUUCACGUGAUGGUUUUUAUUGAUGUUUCAAAACAAAUGAGAAGGGGGCGGCGGCAAAAUACAGGCGGCCCAUGGGCGGCAAGUAGGUAGAUCCGGCCCUGUAUUUCAUAUAAUAAACAAUUUUACCUCAAUUUGUACCGUUUUGAAGGUAUAACCAGGUUAAAUCACGUUCUGUACGUCAAAAAAUCUGAAAUUGGAGGGUCAUGGUAAUGGUAACUAAGGUACAAACGAAUUUCAAUGUUAGAUUCAGUGGCGAUGUUGGUCUUCAUACAGGUUCCACCAUGAAAUGCACUUUUAUUUUGAACAGCAUGGCAGUCCGUGCACUUUUCUACGUCAUAGCCACUCUUCCAGAUGGCUGCCUUGCCCCACUUUCUGUAUUUCCUCUAUGAGACUAGGGGGUUACACCCCUAGCGCUUCGCGGCCCAACCCUCAAGGGGCGUCUGGCGCACUUCAAACCUGCUUCGCGUACUCUUGUAUGUACCUUUGACUAAAUACUAGCUAUUUGGGGCGUGAGAGGAUGGUUCUCCUGCACACUUCAUAGGUUCUUCUAUUUAUUUUUCCGCUGUUAAAGAAAAAAUAUUCUAAAUUGUGGUACUUCACAAGGAACUAUUGACGGAAAGAACCUUUCGGAUUCGGAAUAAACCUUUGUUAAGCGGUUGCAUCAGGGUGGCGAAAAUUCAUGAAAAAUUAAAUUUUAACUUCACGUGAAGUAUUUCUUUAAAUUUCAGAAAUUAAUGAAAGAUAUUUUAAAAAAACGGUUUCAUUCUUCAUGUUUCGCAAAAUGUAAAAAUUGUGACUUUCUUCUACUUUUGUGUGUUCGAGUGCGGGUUGCGUACUCUAGCCUCUGAAAUAUAUGAAAUAAUUGAC